CAGUCGACGCACUCUUCGGAGUGAGUGGCAGACGGGUGAGUAACGCGUGGGAACAACCUAUCGGUUCGGAAUAACGUUCGGAAACGGACGCUAAUACCGGAUACGUCCUUCGGGAGAAAGAUUUAUCGCCGAUUGAUGGGCCCGCGUUGGAUUAGCUAGUUGGUGGGGUAAUGGCCCACCAAGGCGACGAUCCAUAGCUGGUCUAAGAGGAUGAUCAGCCACACUGGGACUGAGACACGGCCCAGACUCCUACGGGAGGCAGCAGUGGGGAAUAUUGGACAAUGGGCGAAAGCCUGAUCCAGCCAUGCCGCGUGAGUGAUGACGGCCUUAGGGUUGUAAAGCUCUUUCGCUAGGGAAGAUAAUGACGGUACCUAGUAAAGAAGCCCCGGCUAACUUCGUGCCAGCAGCCGCGGUAAUACGAAGGGGGCUAGCGUUGUUCGGAAUUACUGGGCGUAAAGCGCGCGUAGGCGGAUCAUUAAGUCAGGGGUGAAAUCCCGGGGCUCAACCUCGGAAUUGCCUCUGAUACUGGUGGUCUUGAGUCCGUGAGAGGUGAGUGGAACUCCGAGUGUAGAGGUGAAAUUCGUAGAUAUUCGGAAGAACACCAGUGGCGAAGGCGGCUCACUGGCACGGUACUGACGCUGAGGUGCGAAAGCGUGGGUAGCAAACAGGAUUAGAUACCCUGGUAGUCCACGCCGUAGACGAUGAUAGCUAGCCGUC
rnacentral:rRNA from 1 species